ensembl:lncRNA
AUGCAGCCAAGCGAUGAUAUCUCAGAUCAUUAUUUAGUUUUGUGCAAACUUCAUAUAGUAAAAAUUCUACUUCUUGUUACAAGUAUGGUAGAACCAUCACUUCUACCACAAAAGACUGCUUUCAUUUUAAAUACAGUUGCUCCCUUACGCUUAAGGAAGAUUAAGCGAAACAGUCUGACACCGUGGUAUAAUGAGCACACUCGCACCCUAAAGAGAAUGGAGCGCAGCUGGAGGAAAACAAAACUAGAGGUAUUUCAUAUUGCUUGGCUGGAAAGUAACCUAUCCUACAGAAAAGCAUUAAAAACUGUUAGAUCUGAUUACUUUUAAUCUCUUUUAGAAGAAAACAAACAUAACCCCAGGUAUUUAUUCAAUACAGUGGCUUAAUUAACGAAAAACAAAGCAUCAACAAGUGUUGACAUUUCCCAACAGCACAGCAGUAAUGAUUUUAACUACUUUACUUCUAAGAUCAAUACUAUUAGAGUUAAAAUUGUAACCAUGCAGCCGUCAGCUAUAGUAUAUAGCAUCAGAUAGCGUGCUAUAGAUUGCCGGAGGAACAAUUCCACUCAUUCUCUACUAUAGUCUGUUUCUCUCUUUUUCCAAGGUCACCGUAGCCACCAGAUCCAGUCUGUAUCCAGAUCAGAUGGUCACUGCAGUCACCCAGAUCCAGUACGUAUCCAGACCAGAUGGUGGAUCAGCACCUAGAAAGGACCUCUAUAGCCCUAAAAGACAGCGGAGACCAGGACAAGUAGAUGAGCCCCAGAUACAGAUCCUCUGUGAAGACCUGUGACAUUGCUGCAGCCUGGGAAUUGAACAGCUGGUUUCGUCUGGCUAGAGGAGAACUGGCCCCCGACUGAACCUGGUUUCUCCCAAGGUUUUUUCUCCAUUCUUUCACCGAUGGAGUUUUGGUUCUUUGCCACUGUUGUCUCUGGCUUGCUUAGUUGGGGACACUUGAUUUACAGCAAUAUUGUUGACCUAAUUGCAAAGAUACUAUUCAAACUGUACUGAGCUGCAUGAUGACAUCACUGAAUUCAAUGAUGAACUGCCUUUAACUGUCAUUUUGCAUUAUUGACACACUGUUUUCCUAAUUAAUGUUGUUCAGUUGCUUUGACACAAUCUGUUUUGUUUAAAGCACUAUAUAAAUAAAGGUUACUUGACUUGACUAUAGGAGAGGAAG